CAAGGUAAAGCUGAAAAUAAGCGUCUCAUUUACACGAGAAGGGGUUAUCGUGUGAUUCGAUAUAUUUUGA
rnacentral:tRNA from 1 species